CCAUUUAUGAAAAUGGGGAGAGUUUUGUUCAAAACGAAAAAGGAAACUGAGCAAAGAAAAAAAAACCCACACUGGUUAACUUUAGCUCUCGAGAAAUCCUCUCCUCCACUCAUUUUCUCUACUACAUUUUGCAAAGUAUCUUUAAGAUUUUUGCCUGCCCUUCUAUAGUUCAGUUAGAGUGGGGAUAGGAAAAGGAAAGGAAAGAGAAAGAAGUCCUGAGAAAUGCAUUGCAAAAAGCAGCCCCUUGUUUUAGGAUUCCAUAUUCAUUUCUCAUAGUUAUCCCCGCCUUUCUCUCCUCCAUUGGAGGAUUAGAACGGAGAGAGAGGAAGGUGGGGAAAAUUGUUAGAUUUGUUCAUCCAUUAUAUUUUCUUGAAAGGAAAAGGAAGGCGAAGGAAUUCAGGUCUUGAUAAUUGUUCUUGAUGUGCAUCCCCAAAAGUAUUUGCAUCACAUCACAAUCUGCAAAGCAGGAAUACCUGAAACUCUCAUCCAGAGUUGACGAAAUCAUGUCAACUUAGAAUGAUAUCAAGGCUCUUGUUACAUUCAGAAGAUCAGGGCUUCAGGCCCUGCUUGUUUGUUGCUGGAUGAAGACAUUCACCAGGAAACCACUGCAAAGUGCAGUGCACGUACAAUUCCUUCGAUCAAGUGGAAGGGCAUUUCAUGGGCUUAUAGAUCAACUUUGUUCCAAAUGUCCUAAACAUGAUGAUGGUGCCACUUUGCAAAGUGAAACCACUUCAAGCAAGUUCAUGUGUUUAUACAAGUUCUUCAGGACAUCAAGUGAAGGUGACACUGCAGCUGUAGACAAUGUAUUGCGCAAUGAUGGAAAUACAGAAGUUGUCGCUAUCCAGUCGAAAGAAAAUGGUCGCAAUUCUAAUAACAUAUUGGAGGAUGGAGAGAAGUCAGUUCUGUCGUCGGAUCAUUCUAAAAAAUUGAGUGCACAUCAUCGACUGAAAAUCUGGAUUACUAGUGGACACAGUGGCAUAAUCGGAAGAUACGGAAAGAAGUUGGAGCUAAAUGCUGCCAAUGUGCCUAAGCAGUUCCCAAGUGAACAUGUGAAUACUGUAUGGCCAGAUUGGCUCAUGAAGGUGGCCCCUGAGGCAGUGCAAGGCUGGUUCCCUCGUCGUGCAGAAUCAUUUGAGAAAUUAGGCAAGAUUGGAGAAGGAACUUAUAGUAGUGUGUACAAAGCUCGAGAUCUUAAAACAGGCAAGAUUGUUGCUCUCAAGAAGGUGCGGUUUGUCAAUUUGGAUCCUGAAAGUGUGCGCUUUAUGGCAAGAGAAAUACUUGUUCUUCGGAAACUGAAUCAUCCGAAUGUCAUAAAGUUGGAAGGGAUCAUAGCAUCUCCUGUUUCAACAAGUUUGUAUCUUGUAUUUGAAUACAUGGAACAUGACCUUACUGGUCUUGCUGCAACUCCAGGCCUCAAGUUCACUGAACCACAGGUAAAGUGCUUGAUGCAACAAUUGCUUAGUGGCCUUGAUCACUGCCACAGCAAUGGAGUUCUUCAUCGAGACUUGAAGGGUUCCAACCUCUUGAUUGACAGCAAUGGUGUCUUGAAGAUUGCAGACUUUGGUCUAGCAACAUUUUAUGAUCCUAACAAUCAGCAACCACUCACAAGCCGUGUUGCAACAUUGUGGUACAGGCCACCGGAACUUCUGCUUGGUGCCACUAAGUAUGGAGUUUCUGUGGAUAUGUGGAGUACUGGGUGCAUUCUGGCAGAAUUGCUUGCUAGCAAGCCAAUCAUGCCAGGAAGAACUGAGGUAGAGCAAAUUCACAAGAUCUUCAAGCUCUGUGGAUCACCCUCUGAUGAGUACUGGCAGAAACUGAACGUGCCCCAGACAGGGAUGUUCAAGCCCUCUCGCCAGUAUAGGCGGUGUAUUGCAGAUAAUUUCAAACAUUUCCCUCAGCCAGCUAUAGUUCUUCUAGAUAAUUUGCUUGCAUUAGAACCAGAAGCUCGUGGAACAGCUGCCUCGACUCUCCAGAGUGACUUUUUCAGAAGAAAGCCACUUGCUUGCAGCCCUUCAAGCUUACCAAAGUUUCCACCGAGCAAAGAAUACGAUGCAAGACUCAAGCUAGAGGAAGCUAGGAGGCAAAGAAAGGUUGGAGGAUCUGUUAGACCUGGAAGAGAGAACGUUAGAAUAAAUCGUGGUAAUGGCUCUAUCCAACCAAAGAAACAUACAUAUAUCAGUGGAAAUCUCCACCCGCAAGGUGAUCCACGGACAUUAGCUACAAGGGUGCGAUCUCCUGGACUUAACGCCACAUGGAACAACAGGGGUGAUUCAAUGACGGUCGUGAAGUACCUGGAUGUAAGUACAACUCUGUGCGGAUAGCAUAUUCCACUAUCUUGACGACAAGGAGCUCAGACUUGCUUCAACCUGAACCAACUGAUGUAAUGAAUAAGAUGCAUGGUUCUCCCAAGAACGACCUGGGAGAGAAGGGCCAGACUGGGAGCUGUAGGGUUAAGAACAGAACGCAUCACUCUGGUUCACUGGUUACACCAGAAGGAAACAUAGAGGAGAUGCUCAAGGAGCAUGACAGGAACAUCCAAGCAGCCAUGCGCAAAGCACGCCUUAACAAGAAGAAAUAGUUGUGACAUUUAGGUGUGUUCAAGCUAAAGAUCCCAACUUUUCCAAGUUCCAGUUGAGGAAUGGCAGGGCUGCAUUCUUGCACAGAGCACAGAGCUUCUUCAAAAGGAUCAAGAUCAAACCUGAAAUGUCGAUACAAUACGAGAGUUUGGGCAUGGACAUUAUUUCAAAUGACAGGUUGUCCUUUGAACCUGAAAUUCUUGACUGAUGGCAGUGAGAGAUCCAGAUCAUGCCGGAGCAACUAAGAAGAAAUUUCGACAACAUUGAGUCAUGGAUAGGUACAUCUUACAGUUACAAAGUAUGAGCAGCACUGCGGAAGAGGAGGCCAAACAGAGUGCCAGGGAUAUCCGAAAGCGUAGACUGGCCUUUAUUCUUGCCUGAAUUCUUGUUUCACCAAGCUUCUGUGGUCUUUCCCCUUGUUAUGGCUGUUCUAACCCAUGCCAUCUGCAUCUGGUGUUGCUAGACGGGCUUGUAUAAACUUUUCAUCCUCUUAUUUCUCUUGUUUUUCUUCUUGCAAGGGUCUUAUAUAAACUGUGCAUUCUUUGUCCA